rnacentral:tRNA from 3 species
UCCCGGGUUGCUCUGUCGGCAGGGGCGACCAGACUUUGAAUCUGGGUACGACGCAGGUUCGACUCCUGCCCCGGGAGCCG